AACAUCGCGCACCUGCGGGAACCUGCGGAAGGAUCAUUAAUGAUUGGUGGCUGUUGCUGACUAGUGUUUCUAGUAUGUGCACGCCACACCUUCAAUCCCACUUACACCUGUGCACCUUCUGUAAUAGAUCUAUGUGGAUACGGAGAUAUGAAAGUUUGCGCUCUCGUAUUCUGUUGAAGCAGUCUACUACGUUUUUUUACACACACACAAUAGUCAUUGAAUGUAUUUUUUAUUCUUAUG
rnacentral:misc_RNA from 1 species